rnacentral:lncRNA from 1 species
AAUUUUCUGUUUUCAUGUCUUCCUGUGGGUUACUUGAAAAUUUCUUUUAGAAUUUUGCUUUGAUUUUUCUUUUUUUCCUUUGUUUUUUUUUUGCUUUGAUUUGUCUAUUACUUUCAAAAAAUAUCUAUUUAUAUCCUUUUUAAGUGGUUGCUCUAGGUAUUACAUGACUUAUCACAAUCUUUUGGUGUUGUCAUUUUACCAGUUUGAGUGAAGUCCAGAAAGCUUACCUCCCUUUACAUCCUUUUACCUUCCCCCAUUUAUAAUUGUCUUAAAUAUUUUCUUGACAUACAUUUAGAACCACAUUAAAGUUAUAUUUUUUAACUAGCAAACAUAAUGUAGAAGAUUAAGAAGAGAAAAAAUCUAUUGUAAUUACCCAUAUUUUUGCCUACUUUGUUCUUUCUUCCUUCCUGAUAUUCAAAUAUUUUAAAAAAUUGUUUCUGUUUAGAGAACUUCUUUUAGCCAUUCUUUCACGAUAGGUCUCCUGCCAACAAAUUCUCUUAGUUUUCCUUCAUCUGAGAAUACCUUGAUUUUCUCUUCAUUGCUGAAGCAUAUUUUCAUGGGAUAUAGGAUUCUGGGUUAGCAGUUGUUUUCAUUUGGCACUUUCAAAAUCUUAUAAAGAAAACCCAGGAAACUUAGCACUUUGUCAUUCCUUGAGCCGUGAGGUCGCUCGCUGACCUGCUUUCUUCUCUCCACCUUUCAGAGUCUUCUUAUGCUUGUUUUACAUAUGAUAUCCAGGAAGUUUAGUUGUAUUUAGUGGAAGGAAUAGGAAAAAGUAUGUUUUUUCCAUCUUCUACCAAGUCUUGAUUUCCUUUUAAAACGCAUUAAAUGGAGCACCCAGCGGCUAUGAAGCAAGACCUUCCUAUGUGCCAUACUCAGCAACCCUCACUGAUU